AGAAAGGUGGCUCUCAGCUCAGAGUGGGGCGGGGGCUUCCUGGAGGGCUUCCUGGAGGAGGAGACAUUGCCACUGAGCCUGGAUGGAUGGGAACCAGGGAAAGGGAAGUCUGGGCAGUUUCACUGGGGGUGAAUAUAGGGGAGCAGAGCACAGUGAGGUGGGUGGGGUCAGCCCAAUCACGCAGGCCUUGAACGCCCAGCCAAGUGCCAACUUCAUCCCGGGGGAAUGGAGGGCCGUGGAGGGCUCUGAGCAGGGUGGGUGUGAGCAGCACAACAGGAGAGGACGGGAAAGGCCCCGUGGGACCAGAAUGGGAGAGCCAGGCAGGAAGCUGCGGUGCGGGCCAGGUGUCUGAGAGUCUGACUCGCGGAGGUGGCUGUGAGUGGUCACCUCUUGGACCAAGAUGGCUGCUGGAGCUGCCUAUGCCAGGUAGCAACCAGGAAGAAGGGACAGAGAGCAGGCUUUGUCUGGAGCCCAGAAGCAGCUACUCAGGUCCUUCUCCUGGUCUCCUUGGGUCCUCAUGCUGACGGGGACCCUGGGUUUGCUGUCUUCUUGCUGUCACCUUACUGGAAUGUGGUGCUGCUCCAGCUGUCCUGGCCAGUUCUGGGUACCUGUUUUGUUUCAUGCAUCAGGUUCUGGCAACUGGUCUGGCGUCUUUCUGGGAACUAAAUCACCUUACUCUGUACCUGGUUUGGGUUUGGCUUCUCCUGUCUCAAACAAGAGCUUGGAUUCUGACCUCAUGUCAUACACCAAA